rnacentral:lncRNA from 1 species
AUCUUUUGUGUGAUGUGCCCUCUGUGCUACGUGACAUCUCCUGUGACUUCAGACUCAGCAACUCUGCACUGGAUCAUCACAAGUGUUUUGUGCCCUUUGUUAUGUUCUUCGAUAGAGACUUCCGCUCCUUUUGCUGGACCAUUUUCUCCUUCACCAACAGCGUUUUAACUUUAUGCACUUACCCACAGGCUCCACAGACACAACUGUACUGUGAUUUUGUGCACUCAUAUUAAACUCUUCACCUGGGCCCCAACUCUGCCUUCCUUCACUCCCAGAACUUUCUCAUAGAUGGAUUCCAACUCAAUUGUCAUUUUGUUUGUGUUCAUCUUUUCAUCUGUUUUUAUGCAUUUUGAUUUGUUCCUGAUUUUACAUUUGUAUAGCAACUUUUGUAUUUUUUGUCAUUUAUUUGUCAAUGUAUUUUUACUGUUUUUAAUAAACGCCGAUGCGGACACUAUGACCCCACCUGGUGCUGGUUGCUUCCCACUCUUCUUUCCAUCCUAGUGUCUUGCUCACUCCUCUG